GACGAACCGUGCGAACGUUAUUCGGAUUCACUGGGCUUAAAGGGCGCGUAGGCGGGUUCCCAAGUCGGUGGUGAAAUCUUUCGGCCCAACCGGAAAACAGCCGCCGAUACUGGGAGUCUUGAGGGAGGUAGGGGUCGAUGGAACUUCCGGUGGAGCGGUGAAAUGCGUAGAUAUCGGAAGGAACGCCGGUGGCGAAAGCGAUCGACUGGACCUUUUCUGACGCUGAGGCGCGAAAGCCAGGGGAGCAAACGGG
rnacentral:rRNA from 1 species